rnacentral:rRNA from 1 species
AACGAACGCCGGCGGCAUGCCUAAUACAUGCAAGUCGAACGAUCUCUUCGGAGAUAGUGGCGCACGGGUGCGUAACGCGUGGGAAUCUACCCUUGGGUUCGGAAUAACUUCGGGAAACUGAAGCUAAUACCGGAUGAUGACGUAAGUCCAAAGAUUUAUCGCCCAGGGAUGAGCCCGCGUAGGAUUAGCUAGUUGGUGAGGUAAAGGCUCACCAAGGCGACGAUCCUUAGCUGGUCUGAGAGGAUGAUCAGCCACACUGGGACUGAGACACGGCCCAGACUCCUACGGGAGGCAGCAGUAGGGAAUAUUGGACAAUGGGGGCAACCCUGAUCCAGCAAUGCCGCGUGAGUGAUGAAGGCCUUAGGGUUGUAAAGCUCUUUUACCCGGGAUGAUAAUGACAGUACCGGGAGAAUAAGCCCCGGCUAACUCCGUGCCAGCCGCCGCCGUAA